AAAGGUCACCUUCCGUCGUUUUUUCUUUCAUUUUAAAAUGUCUAGUUGUGGUCUCUAGUAUGAAUGAAUGACAUGUGAGCCGUUUUUGUAAAAAAAAAAGUGCUCAGGUGUCUCUGAAUAGCUCUUUUUUAAUGGACUGUUUUAGGGGUGUGUCCAAAAUGACCGGAUUCCAGCUUUGCUCAUGAAUAUUCAUACAUGCAAACAGCAUGCAAAUAUCUCUCCUCUGAUUGGCUAGGAGCACUGCGACGCCCCUCCACCGCUCUGCCGCUCACUGCCUCCCACCUCCUAACUGAUGAGCGUGAUGUUGCGUCGCUUCAGCUCCGCCUCUGGGAGUUUCUCGAGCCAAGGUGGGCUGGUCUGUGAGUUUCUGCCUACGUAGGCAGAAAGAUAAUUCAAAAUUCACCCGUUUUUCGGAGGGGGGAGGGGGGAUUUCUUUGCUUAGCUCCUGCAGACAAUGGGGGCUGCAAAACAGUUUAAUGUGCAGGUGUACACAUUCAACUCGGAAAGACCUACUGUAUUCCACAAAAAACAAGAAAAAUCGGAUUUUCGCGGAAGGCGAGCUUUAAAUAGAACCUGUCUGACAAUCUGAAGCAGCUAAAAGAUCUCAAAAAGCAACACAUUAUGCCUCAAACUGAAGAAAUUCAAAAACAGAUGAGGAAACAAACUCAUUGGCAUCUGUCAGUCUGGAAAAGAAUGAAACAUUGUGUUGGAUAAAGUUGACAGAUGAGGAAACAAACUCAUUGGCAUCUGUCAGUCUGGAAAAGGAGCUGCAAGAGUCCAUCAACAAAACCUCUCCAUGGACUGCUGCCAUCGUUUCUUGAGAAAGCACACCCAAAAUGCGUGAAAAGGAGUACCCCUCUCUAGAAGUAAGUAAUAUAAUACAGGAAAUUGACAAAUCCUGCACCUAACAGCUGGGGUUAUGCAUAGGGCUCAGCCAGGAUCUACUACUCACUCAACUAACAACAAUAGCAAAACCACCCCAAUCUGAUACUGGCUCGACAAGAAUCCAGAAGCACAGCCAAACACUAUGUUCAUGGUCCAUUGCCUCAACUGCCAAGUAACAGACCUACCAAAAAAUAACCUAUGAACACACAGAAUCCCUCCUUAAUCUAAGCUCACUUCCUUUAACUAUGGCAACAACACACUUACCUAAGCACAAUCACACACAAUAAAUCACAUUAUAAGUUGCGUGAGCAGAACACAGCAACCACUACCACCCGAUACUGGCUCGACAAGAAUCCAGAAGCAUAGCGAACUAUGUUCAUGGUCCGUGCCUCAACUGCCAAGUACUCAGACGUCUACAAAAACUCAUGAGACAAAUUAUUACAAGAGCAGGACCACACCAAUCCCCUUCAUCCAAACUCUAACACAAACUUCAGUGCAAGCUCUUCUCAGGGGUCAUCAGGCAGGCACCUUCCUUCGUCAGUGUUUCGCUGAAUUAGGCCCACGACACCUCCAGAAGGCUCAACAGUGAAGUCUGGCGUCCCAGACCCACCCCCCUCCAAGCCUGCUGUAGAAGCACAAACUCAUUCCCUUCCCCACACAGCCUCAGCCCUUCUAGAAGAACAUUAACCGGAUUGUUCACUGCCAGCAGCUUCCUGCCAACACAGAAUUACUUUGUUAAGAAAGAAUGUGCUGUUUGGCUUUGUGUGCAGAGAGGAACUGGACCGUUUAAUCUGAGUCUAAUCUGAAGAAACACUGUGUUUGCUAAAUUUGACAAGCUGUUUACAAUAGCAGGUAAAAGUUGCUCCUAGAAUGUUCUUUCUCUCA